UACGUAGGGUGCAAGCGUUGUCCGGAAUUAUUGGGCGUAAAGAGCUCGUAGGCGGUUUGUCGCGUCUGCUGUGAAAAUCCAGGGCUUAACCCUGGACCUGCAGUGGGUACGGGCAGACUAGAGUGCGGUAGGGGAGAUCGGAAUUCCUGGUGUAGCGGUGAAAUGCGCAGAUAUCAGGAGGAACACCGGUGGCGAAGGCGGGUCUCUGGGCAGUAACUGACGCUGAGGAGCGAAAGCGUGGGGAGCGAACAGG
rnacentral:rRNA from 1 species